rnacentral:lncRNA from 1 species
UGAUGUGGAGGGAGCGGAGGCUGCGCGGCGGAGAGUAGAGAGCUAGAGGGUGAGAAGCGCUGGGCCGGACCAGAACUGUCUUAGCUUUUCCCUCUGCGGCUGCUCUGGUUGGUUACUUUGAGCCUGCCUCCUCAGCGCCGCAGGAGAGACUUAACAGCAAAAAUGACUGUGUCCUGAGUUCAGCCCCCACUGCUCUGGGAGCUUCCCCCUGGUUUCUGCACCUGAAGAAUGUCAUCCCAGCCGAAGGUUCUUAGGAGCGGGGAGCGACAAAGAAAAACAAAGAAAAGCAGACCUGAAAAUUGGGACCUGGGAGAAAUAGACGAGUGCUCUAAACCAGUAUCAUGGCUCCAGUUCCUCUGACAAGGAUUCACAUGGGGUUGCAAUUCUGACUGUGCUGGUGAUGCUGGUUCCAGGUCCCUCAGGAACCCCUCCCCCAGUCUGGUCUGCCCUUGAACUCUAUACUGGCCCCAGGGUAUCCCAGGAUUGUCAGAAAGGCCUGGCCAGGAUUCACCUGGGAGAGGGAUCAGCAUCUCUGCAAAGUUGUUGGAUUGAAAGAACUUUCAUUUUGAGCUACAUCAUUGAAGAGCUUUAAAUCUGAAAAUAAGAAAGACGUUGAACCCUAUUACUCACAUCUCUUUGUCAUUUGAAGCAGAUCCCGAACCACUCAAAAGGACAAAACAAGGAAAUAGCAAUGAAAUUGGAUUCAGUGAAUGGGGUAAGGGUAUUAAGUGUCUGAAAUAUAAGAGAUAAAAAAAUUAGUUUUUACCUUUUUUUCUAUUUUCUAAAUGUUUUGGUGGCUAGAAUAAGAUAUACUUUGAACUCAAGAGCAAUAAAUGUUAAUAUAUUAAAAGUAGCUUUAUGAAAUAUGGAAAGUAUCUUUAUUUCAAAAUACUUCAAAGUAAUCAUCUGAAUAUUUAUCAGAAAUAUUAAGACAACUUAUUAAAUCCUGUAUUAAAAUGAUUGCUUAUUA